GUACCGUCAUUUUCUUCCCUACUGAAAGCGGUUUACAACCCUAGGGCCUUCUUCCCGCACGCGGCAUCGCUGCAUCAGGCUUUCGCCCAUUGUGCAAGAUUCCCCA
rnacentral:rRNA from 1 species